rnacentral:rRNA from 1 species
AUGAGAGGAUUUCAACAUAGAAUUGACUUAAUUCCGGGAGCAAGUUUUCCUAAUCUUCCACACUACCGAAUGAUCCCAAAAGAGCAUGACAUAUUGAAGGAGAAAGUGGAGGAAUUGCUGCAAAAAGGACACAUUCAAGAAAGUAUUAGCCCAUGUGAUGUACGAGCCCUACUCACGCCAAAGAAAGAUGGAUCUUGCUGCAUGUGUGUGGUCAGUAAAGACAUCAACAAGAUCACUGUAAGGUACAGGUUCCCUAUUCCCUGUCCGGAUGAUAUGUUGAAUCAGCUUAGUGGAGCAAGAGUGUUCACAAAGCUAGAUUUUAGAAGCGGAUAUCAUCAAAUUCGCAUCAGAUCCGGAGAUGAAUGGAAAGGUUUUUUGAAUGGCUAG